rnacentral:antisense_RNA from 1 species
CCAUGAAGAUGCUUGUAUCCCAUGUGAGCACUCACCAACGGGUGAACUCAGCAGAGGAGGAUUUUAAUAAUCAAGUGGAUAGGAUGACCCAUUCUGUUUCUGUGGAUGCCACUCAGCCUCUUUCCCCAGCCACCCCUGUCAUCGCCCAAUGGGCCCAUGAACAAAGUGGCCAUGGUGGCCAGGAUGGAGGUUAUGCAUGGACUCAGCAACAUAGACUUCCACUCACCAAGGCUGACCUGGCUAUGCCCAAUUUGCCAUUAGCAGAGACCAACAUUGAGCCCUCUAUAUGGCACCAUUCUUCAGGGUGAUUAGUCAGCUACCUGGUGGCAGGUUGAUUAUAUUGGACCUCUUCCAUCAUGGAAAGGGCAGAGGUUUGUCCUCACUGAAAUAGACACUUACUCUGGAUAUGGGUUUGCCUAUCCUGUAUGCAAUGCUUCUGCCAAGACUACCAUCCAUGGACUCACAGAGUGCCUUAUCCACCAUCAUGGUAUUCCACACAGCAUUGCCUCUGACCAAAGCACUCACUUUGUGGCUAAAGAAGUGCAGCAGUGGGCUCAUGCUUAUGGAAUUCACUGGUCUUACCACGUUCUCCAUCAUCCUGAAGCAGCUGGAUUGAUAGAACGGUGGAAAACAAAAGUCACACAGCAGUGCAGAUUUCUCCAGGGAGAACUGCAGCUCAGAAGCCAAGUGUGGACCGGGGCCCUGGGAAGAGACUGCUGAGCCAGGAGUUGUCUGGAAUCCUUGUCUGUUGCAGACCCCAUGACCAGUGAGUGCAACCUCACCACAACCAUUGAUGCUGAAUAGGAACCUGCGAAUCCAAUGGCACUGCCAGAAUCAACUGAAUGGCUCUGAGAAGGCAGCCCUCAGAAAUCUGGGAAAUUCUCUCCUAUGGAUGAUCACAGGUUCUGGGAUGCAGAGCAAACAGGGAGCUAAUGGAAGCACUCAGGAUGAUAGAAUUCUCACUUCAUGAAAACAUGUUUGAUUGUGGGUCCCAGUAAAGAUGUCCCAGUUCUCGGCCAGAAUCUUUUCUGAAGACUGAGCUGGAGGAGGUACCUGUUCUGGAAUGGUCUCAAAUGCAACCUGCAGGUUUGGCCCCCUGGAGGAAGUGAGAAGAAUGGAGAUGAACACGUUUCUUGUGUCAUGUCCUCAUUCUGCCCAAGACACACCUACCCGGACCAUGCCGUCUUGACUCCCGGUGAUGAUGAUCUGGCUUGUGUCCCAUGCUGGGCCCUCCAUCAGGCAGCAGCAGGUUAUGGCUCCUUCUGGGCCCCAGGCUGUGGUGAUGCUGGCCAGGGGCUGUCCAUUGACAUUCCACAGGGACAAGUGUGCUCCCGCACAGGAGACAAUGGUGCCCUGUGCAGUGAGAGCUGGCAUCACUCUAAGCUGGAGUCACUGCCUGCCCAUCAGCCACUUGCUCAGCUACCCAGUUGGUACACCCAAGUACUCUCAAUCUGUCAUGCUCUGAAGACCCCCAAGGUUCCCCAAAACUUCUUUCCAGCUGACUUACAGGUCUGCCGUGUUUUCACACAGUUGUAAAUUCUUGGUUCUUUUCAUACUGCAGUCAUGUGCUUAGAUAUUUCUUUCCUGGCAGAAGGC